rnacentral:rRNA from 1 species
GAUGAACGCUGGCGGCGUGCCUAAUACAUGCAAGUCGAGCGAACGGACGAGAAGCUUGCUUCUCUGAUGUUAGCGGCGGACGGGUGAGUAACACGUGGAUAACCUACCUAUAAGACUGGGAUAACUUCGGGAAACCGGAGCUAAUACCGGAUAAUAUUUUGAACCGCAUGGUUCAAAAGUGAAAGACGGUCUUGCUGUCACUUAUAGAUGGAUCCGCGCUGCAUUAGCUAGUUGGUAAGGUAACGGCUUACCAAGGCAACGAUGCAUAGCCGACCUGAGAGGGUGAUCGGCCACACGGGAACUGAGACACGGUCACGACUCCUACGGGAGGCAGCAGUAGGGAAUCUUCCGAAAUGGGCGAAAGCAUGACGAAGCAACGCCGCGUGAGUGAUGAAGGACUUCGGAUCGUAAAAAUCUGUUAUUAGGGAAGACCAUAUGUGUAAGUAACUGUGCACAUCUUGACGGUACCUAAUCAGAAAGCCACGGCUAAGUACGUG